rnacentral:rRNA from 1 species
GCAGAGCAUCCUACGGGAGGCAGCAUGGGGGAAUAUUGCACAAUGGGCGCAAGCCUGAUGCAGCCAUGCCGCGUGUGUGAAGAAGGCCUUCGGGUUGUAAAGCACUUUCAGUCGUGAGGAAGGUGGUGUUGUUAAUAGCAGCAUCAUUUGACGUUAGCGACAGAAGAAGCACCGGCUAACUCCGUGCCAGCAGCCGCGGUAAUACGGAGGGUGCGAGCGUUAAUCGGAAUUACUGGGCGUAAAGCGCAUGCAGGUGGUUUGUUAAGUCAGAUGUGAAAGCCCGGGGCUCAACCUCGGAAUAGCAUUUGAAACUGGCAAGCUAGAGUACUGUAGAGGGGGUAGAAUUUCAGGUGUAGCGGUGAAAUGCGUAGAGAUCUGAAGGAAUACCGGUGGCGAAGGCGGCCCCCUGGACAGAUACUGACACUCAGAUGCGAAAGCGUGGGGAGCAAACAGGAUUAGAUACCCUGGUAG